UACGGGGGGAGCAAGCGUUGUUCGGAUUUACUGGGCGUAAAGGGCGCGUAGGCGGCCACCGCAAGUCGGUUGUGGAAAUCUCCGGGCUUAACCCGGAAAGGUCAAUCGAUACUGCGGGGCUAGAGUGCAGAAGGGGCAACUGGAAUUCUCGGUGUAGCGGUGAAAUGCGUAGAUAAUCGGAAAGAACACCAACGGCGAAAAGCACUCUGCU
rnacentral:rRNA from 1 species